AACUAACGCUGGCGGCGUGCCUAACACAUGCAAGUCGUACGAGAAAGUUGGCUUCGGCCGAUGAGUAAAGUGGCGCACGGGUGAGUAAUGCGUGGAUAAUCUGCCCUUUAGUUGGGAAUAACGUACCGAAAGGUGCGCUAAUACCUGAUAAUACUGCAUAACUACUGUUGUGUAGUCAAAGAAGGCCUCUGUUUACAAGCUUUUGCUGAAGGAUGAGUCCGCGUACCAUUAGCUGGUUGGUGGGGUAAUGGCCUACCAAGGCUACGAUGGUUAGCUGGUCUGAGAGGAUGAUCAGCCACACUGGAACUGAGACACGGUCCAGACUCCUACGGGAGGCAGCAGUGAGGAAUAUUGCGCAAUGGGGGCAACCCUGACGCAGCAACGCCGCGUGAGUGAAGAAGGCCUUCGGGUUGUAAAGCUCUGUUGAAGGGGAAGAGUAAUGACGGUACCCUUCGAGGAAGCCACGGCUAACUACGUGCCAGCAGCCGCGGUAAAAC
rnacentral:rRNA from 1 species